GGCUGCAGUAUGAGGCGGGCUGGACCUCUCGGGGUUACAGCCUUGCUGAAUUAUUCACCCUUGUCUUUUGCGUACUUCUUGUUUCCUUGGUGGGUUCGCCCACCACUAGGACAAACAUAAACCUUUUGUAAUUGCAAUCAGCGUCAGUAACAAAUUAAUAAUUACAACUUUCAACAACGGAUCUCUUGGUUCUGGCAUCGAUGAAGAACGCAGCGAAAUGCGAUAAGUAGUGUGAAUUGCAGAAUUCAGUGAAUCAUCGAAUCUUUGAACGCACAUUGCGCCCUUUGGUAUUCCAAAGGGCAUGCCUGUUCGAGCGUCAUUUGUACCCUCAAGCUUUGCUUGGUGUUGGGCGUCUUGUCUCUAGCUUUGCUGGAGACUCGCCUUAAAGUAAUUGGCAGCCGCCUACUGGUUUCGGAGCGCAGCACAAGUCGCACUCUCUAUCAGCAAAGGUCUAGCAUCCAUUAAGCCUUUUUUCAACUUUUGACCUCGGAUCAGGUAGGGAUACCCGCUGAACUUAAGCAUAUCAAUAGGCGGGGAGGGAAAAA
rnacentral:rRNA from 1 species